AUCAGUGUAGUGUACUGGUUUGCAUGUUGGGCUGCAACUCUGGAGACCAAGGUUCAAUUCCCUGCUCAGCCA